rnacentral:tRNA from 1 species
GAGGGUAUAGCUCAGUGGUAGAGUGUGUGCUUAGCAUGCACGAGGUCCUGGGUUCAGUGUCCAGUACCUCCU